rnacentral:rRNA from 1 species
UGGAAGGGCCAUCGCUCAACGGAUAAAAGGUACUCCGGGGAUAACAGGCUGAUACCGCCCAAGAGUUCAUAUCGACGGCGGUGUUUGGCACCUCGAUGUCGGCUCAUCACAUCCUGGGGCUGAAGUAGGUCCCAAGGGUAUGGCUGUUCGCCAUUUAAAGUGGUACGCGAGCUGGGUUUAGAACGUCGUGAGACAGUUCGGUCCCUAUCUGCCGUGGGCGCUGGAGAACUGAGGGGGGCUGCUCCUAGUACGAGAGGACCGGAGUGGACGCAUCACUGGUGUUCGGGUUGUCAUGCCAAUGGCACUGCCCGGUAGCUAAAUGCGGAAGAGAUAAGUGCUGAAAGCAUCUAAGCACGAAACUUGCCCCGAGAUGAGUUCUCCCUGAGACUUAGAGUCUCCUGAAGGAACGUUGAAGACGACGACGUUGAUAGGCCGGGUGUGUAAGCGCAGCGAUGCGUUGAGCUAACCGGUACUAAUGAACCGUGAGGCUUAACCUUACAACGCCGAAG